UACGUAGGGUGCGAGCGUUAAUCGGAAUUACUGGGCGUAAAGCGUGCGCAGGCGGUUUCACAAGCUCGAUGUGAAAGCCCCGGGCUUAACCUGGGAAUGGCAUUGAGGACUGUGGAGCUCGAGUGCGGCAGAGGGAGGUGGAAUUCCACGUGUAGCAGUGAAAUGCGUAGAGAUGUGGAGGAACACCGAUGGCGAAGGCAGCCUCCUGGGCCGACACUGACGCUCAUGCACGAAAGCGUGGGAGCA
rnacentral:rRNA from 1 species